rnacentral:rRNA from 1 species
UACGUAGGGGGCAAGCGUUGUCCGGAAUCAUUGGGCGUAAAGAGCGUGUAGGCGGCCAGAAAAGUCCGCUGUGAAAACCCGAGGCUCAACUUCGAGCUGUCGGUGGAAACUUUCUGGCUAGAGUCCGGAAGAGGAGAAUGGAAUUCCUGGUGUAGCGGUGAAAUGCGCAGAUAUCAGGAAGAACACCCGUGGCGAAGGCGGUUCUCUGGGACGGUACUGACGCUGAGACGCGAAAGCGUGGGGAGCGAACAGG